UUGGUGAAUGCCUUGGCGUAUGGAGGCGAUGAAGGACGUGACAGGCUGCGAAAAGCUGUGGUGAGGUGCCAGUAACCUUUGACCCACAGAUAUCCGAAUGGGGAAACCCACCCUUUUAGGGUAUCAUGUAGUGAAUACAUAGCUGCAUGAGGCGAACCCGGCGAACUGAAACAUCUAAGUAGCCGGAGGAAAAGACAUCAACAGAGAUUCCCCCAGUAGUGGCGAGCGAACGGGGACCAGGCCAGUGUUAUCUUCAGAUCUACCGGAACCAUCUGGAAAGUUGGACCAUAGUAGGUGAUAGUCCUGUACGGGAAAGAAAAGAAGAUAGCCUCGAGUAGGGCGGGACACGUGAAAUCCUGUCUGAACAUGGGAGGACCACCUUCCAAGCCUAAAUACUACCAUACGACCGAUAGUGAACCAGUACCGUG
rnacentral:rRNA from 1 species